GCCCUGGUGGCGAAAUUGGUAGACGCACAGGACUUAAAAUCCUGAGCUUCCAGGAAUGGGGCGUGCCGGUUCAAGUCCGGCCCAGGGCA
rnacentral:tRNA from 1 species